rnacentral:lncRNA from 1 species
CACUUAAAGGUGGGUUAGUCAGGAUCUGAGGAAGUUCCAGUUUUUAGGAGAAAUCUUGAAUGUAAACUCUACCCCUCCCAACCAGUUUUCCCCUCAGCUCCUCCUCUCCCCUCCCUCUCUGCUCCAGCAAGCCCCGCCCACAAACAGACGCUCCUGCUCGCUCGUAUCGUUCCAAUUAAAUUCAGAUAUAAUGCAGAUAAAUACUUCAGAUCAUUACAAAUGGGGCCCAGUCAAAGGUUACAGGGUCACCAGGAUCCCCAAGCGUCCCCCAUGGUUUAUGUUGACCCGGCUUUUUAGCUCUUGUCCGGUCUAC